rnacentral:lncRNA from 1 species
CCCAGUCAGGGGUCAGGAAAGGAUGAAGCAGAGUGACUAUUUUCAGAAAUGUGCUGGCAUUUUGGAGACAAUUGAUGUUUGGGAACCCAGAGACCCACCCUGCUACACCCUCUGCUUGCAUUUGCAUAGACUGCUGAACCUGUUUGUGGAUCCCAUGAACCUGCUGCUGUGCACACCACCAGUCUGCUGGUCUCCAGACAGGGGCUCUGUGCCCCGGCACCUGGCCAGCUUGCCCUGAAAACCCUGAGAUGCUCAAGCCCCCUUCACAACAAAGGGGCCUAAGAGGCAGCAAGACCCUGAGUGAUGCCCCCAAUGACCUGAUGACUGCCCAUGAAAUCCCACCUCUUGAAGACCCCACCAUCUCUUAAUUCCACCACAAUGGAGACCAAACUUGCAACAGUCAAACCUUUGGGAGAUAAGCCUGCACUAUACCCAAACCAUAACAAUAGACAACUCUACUGAAGUGUUGGAUGUAGAAAU